AUCAAAAUCAACAGGGAACCUUGUUAAAAUGCAAAUUUCAGAGUCAGCAGAUCUGGGGGGGUGGGGUCCUGUUUCUGCAUUUCUAACAAGCUCCCAGGCGAUGUUGCU
rnacentral:pre_miRNA from 1 species